UAACACGCUUCUUCCUCUCUGUUCCUGCAGGUUCCACGUGAAGACUUUGAGAAAAUCGAGUCCCUGAAUGUGAUUGUUGAGGACAUAUGGCAUCUUCUUUCCAAAUACGUGGAAAAGAUGAUUCGAGAGAGGAUUCAGCCUGACAUACGCGCCAAAAGCAAUUAUCUUGCCUCGUUCCGUUUCAUCAACAUCGAUUUUGGCAAGAAGCCCCCACAGAUAAAGUCUUGGAAAACUCAUGCGGAUCCAGAAAAAAAGCAAAUAAUGUUGGAUCUCGAUAUCAGUUAUAAUGCCGACAUAAAGGUGGAUGCUGGUUUU